rnacentral:rRNA from 1 species
GACGAACGCUGGCGGCGUGCUUAACACAUGCAAGUCGAACGGAGUGGCGAACGGGUGAGUAACACGUGGGUGAUCUGCCUUGCACUUCGGGAUAAGCUUGGGAAACUGGGUCUAAUACCGGAUAGUGCAAGAUGAGCUCGGGGCCUAUCAGUUUGUUGGUGGGGGAAUGGCCUACCAAGGCGUCGGCGGGUAGCCGGCCUGGGAGGGUGUACGGCGACAAGGGGACUGAGGGACGGCCCAGACGCCUACGGGGGGCAGUGGUGGGGAAUAUUGCACAAUGGGCGGAAGCCUGAUGCAGCGACGCCGCGUGGGGGAUGAAGGCCUUCGGGUUGUAAACGCCUUUCGACAGGGACGCGGUACCUGUAUAAGAAGCACCGGCUAACUACGUGCCAGCAGCCGCGGUAAUUG